AGAUUUCAAUCACGAAGGGUCUCGUAACUCAGAUACUCUGAGCUCUAUUGACUAUAUAAGGAUAUACAGCUAUAUCUUUGAAGUGACGACGACUAUUCCUUUCGACAUGUAAUCGCCGUUUAAACCCAGCCAGGAAGAAGCAUUCCUUCAUCGCAGUCUCUCACUCUACACGUACUUCGCCUUCGUCCCAGGAUGAUAUCGGUAUUUUGGAAGUGGCUGAAUUACUGCGGCUCCCCCAAGCUUCACGAUGAUCAACUUUGUGUAUUAGCUGCCGCAUCAGCACCUGGAUGAUAGGACAGUUUUCAAUUACAAUAAAUUACUUAAUUU